AUGCUCCCGACUCCCCACAAAACACUACAUCCCAGCAUAUGCAUGCAGCGUGGAUGCUGUGCCAAAGGCCAUUUUAGAAGGCAAUCAGCCAGCCUCCUGCGUCCCUGGUACCUGCAUCCCAGUGCUAAUGGGGUGACACUGCCACAGCCGCUGCGGUCCCGGGCACUUCCCUGCCUUGCUCUGCAGCCCUGGCAGCCUGGAGGAUGGUGGACCCAGGACCCUGGUCCAGCAAGGUCUUGCAAAGGAAAAGCGAAGUCACGUGGAUGCCAUGCCAUCAGGCCCCAUAGGAAGCAGGGUGAGGCUGCCCCUUCUCCCGUGAAAGCCAUGUGCCCGGGCACCCCAGAAGCUGAGAGAUGAUGAGAGAGGAGCAAAAAUGGAAGGGACAUCGACACAGCCUCCAGGAACACUUACGCAUAUGUUUCUGAGACUUCAGAGUGAAUUUCACUUGAUCUGUUGACCAGGCAGGUAGAGGAGUGAAUAACUGCAUGCACCAAAAAAAAUAAAAAAUAAAAAUAAAGAAAAAAGUAAAUAAUA
rnacentral:lncRNA from 1 species